rnacentral:pre_miRNA from 14 species
AUGCCCUGGGACUCUUGUUACAAGCGCAUGGCUCAGUCAGCCUGGUGUGGGCCUGAGAUUCUGCAUUUCUAACAAGGUCUACGUG